rnacentral:rRNA from 1 species
UACGGAGGGGGCUAGCGUUGUUCGGAAUUACUGGGCGUAAAGCGUACGUAGGCGGCUUUGUAAGUUAGAGGUGAAAGCCCGGGGCUCAACUCCGGAAUUGCCUUUAAGACUGCAUCGCUUGAAUCAUGGAGAGGUGAGUGGAAUUCCGAGUGUAGAGGUGAAAUUCGUAGAUAUCAAGCGGAACACCGGUGGCGAAGGCGGCCUUCUGGACGAUGACUGACGCUGAGACGCGAAAGCGUGGGGAGCAAACAGG